rnacentral:misc_RNA from 1 species
GAAAUGCGAUACGCAAUGCGAAUUGCAGAAUUCUGUGAGUCAUCAGGUUUUUGAACGCAAAUGGCGCUCGCUUGCGAGCAUGUUUGUUUCAGUGUGUUUGGGGAGUAAAUCUCAUCAUUUCAUAUGAAUGCGAUUGAAAGUGAAGUUUACUUUGCUUUCUCUCGUUAAAUAAGAAGGUGUGAGCUUAGUUCACACUGACUAACGGAGUAGUCACAUCUAGUUAUGUGAUUUCGUUAUCUCAGUUAAUGUGACUAACAAAAAUCACAUCCAACAACAUUCUAUCUCCAAAAAAUGACACCUGAAAUCAAGCAAGACCACCCGCUGAACUUAA